GACCAGGGGCGACACGGCGGAGGAAGAGCCCGGUUUCAGCCGCGUGGGCCUGGGCGCUGCUCCCGCUGGGAGGACCGGAGCUGCUGCGCUUGCAGCUUGCAACUUGGCGCCUCCUCACUCGCGAAUUUAGGAUUGUUUCUGGGGAGAAAUCUGACAGAAAUCCAGAGACAAGGGAGAUGCGUUCAGCUGGGACAUGAAUACACUAAAUACUAAGUAUCAGGACCUUCUGGGACAAUGAGCCGGGGACCCACUUUCAGAGCCAUAUUGGAACCACAGCCUGAGACAUCCUGGUUGCUUCCAAGUUUGGGAAAUUAUGAAUAAAGCUGCUGUGAACACCUAUGUGCAGGUUUUUGUGUGGCUAAAACUUUUCAGCUCUUUGGAAUGUAGUUGUAUAUUUUCGUUGUGGGUCCUUCUGGUUGUGCUAUGUGGGAUGCCACCUCAAUGUGGCCUGACGAGCGGCGCCAUGUCCAUGCCCAGGAUCCGAACCAGCGAAACCCUGGGCUGCCAAAGCAGAGCACGCGAACUUAACCACUCGGCCACGGGGCCAGCCCCCAUAGUUGUGGUAUGUGGGACGCUGCCUCAGCGUGGUCUGACGAGCAGUGCCAUGUCCGCGCCCAGGAUUCGAACCAACGAAACACUGGGACACCUGCAGCGGAGCGCGCGAACUUAACCACUCGGCCACGGGGCCAGCCCCCUAAGUCAGCACCUUUCUGAUACCUACUAUGGGGCUUUAAGAAUGGUUAGUGGUUACUUUGGGGGGGGCAUACUGAGUAGGAGGGACAUGGGGAGCCAGCUAGGCAGCUGGAGAUGACCUGAAC
rnacentral:lncRNA from 1 species